GAUGAACGCUGGCGGCGUGCUUAACACAUGCAAGUCGAACGGAAAGGCCCUGCUUUUGUGGGGUGCUCGAGUGGCGAACGGGUGAGUAACACGUGAGUAACCUGCCCUUGACUUUGGGAUAACUUCAGGAAACUUGGGCUAAUACCGGAUAGGAUCUCCUGCUGCAUGGUGGGGGUUGGAAAGUUUCGGCGGUUGGUGAUGUACUCGCGGCUUAUCAGCUUGUUGGUGGGGUAGUGGCUUACCAAGGCUUUGACGGGUAGCCGGCCUGAGAGGGUGACCGGCCACAUUGGGACUGAGAUACGGCCCAGACUACUAAGGGAGGCAGCAGUGGGGAAUAUUGCACAAUGGGCGGAAGCCUGAUGCAGCAAAGCAGCGUGCGGGAUGACGGCAUUCGGGUUGUAAACCGCUUUCGCCUGUGACGAAGCGUGAGUGACGGUAAUGGGUAAAGAAGCACCGGCUAACUACGUG
rnacentral:rRNA from 1 species